CUGGAAGAAGAGCCAUUGGGUUUCAAGCUGCAUAUAUGGAUGGAAAAAUGCUUCUCAACAGGCUUCCAAGUUUAUGUGACCCAUUUCAUAAUCAGAUAAAGGUGAAAGGGAAGCUAAGCAGCGAGGAUCAUGUCAUUUCUUCCAAUGUCUGUCACUUCCAUCCAUCCACCUGCCCGGAGGACUUGCUGGGUAACGCUUUCUUCAAACAGACACGAGAUGAUGAAAAGGUGACCCCUUCCAUUGAAGAUCGAGAGUGCCUGAAACUGAUGGACAAGGAAAUGUUCAUUGAUAGCUUUAACAGCUGGGUGGCACCUCUUCCUUUCCGAACUUCACGCCAAUGGCUAACUAACAAUAGAGACCAGAGUGCAAAACAGCUCCUGUUACUCCAUCAGACACUGAAGAAGAAGCCUCAAAUGCAAGAACAUUUCAUCACAUUCAUGCAAAGCAUUUUCGACACAGGUCAUGCAGAUUUGGCACAACCUGUGAAGGAAGAUGAGGAAGUUUGGUAUCUGCCAAUAUUCGGUGUCUAUUACCCUCGCAAUCCAGGACAGAUUAGAGAUGUUUUUGACUCUAGUGCACAGUACAAAGGCAUUUCUUUGAAUCAAGUGUUUCUCUCAGAACCUGACCUAAACAACUCCUUGCUAGGCAUCUUGCUUCAUUUCCGAAAAGAGGAAGUGGCAUUCACUGUGGACGUUGAGCAGAUGUUCCAUAGUUUUGUGUCACUGAGUAUAGGAUGAAAGUCAAUGUUUUUGGGAAUAGUCCCUCACCCGCUGUAGCGAUCUAUGGACCUCAUCGUGCAGCUCAAGACGUAGAGUUUGAGUUUGGGAAUGAUGCAAAAGCCUUAGUCGAGCAUGACUUUUACGUGGAUGAUGGCCUGAAAUCAGUGCCCACCACUGAGGAAGCAGUUGAUCUGUUGAAAAUAACUCAGGAGAUGCUAGCAAAUUCCAACUUGAGAUUUUAUAAAAUAGCAUCAAGCAGUCCUUCUGUAAUGAAUGCAUUUCCUGUGGUAGAUUAUGUGAAAGACCUCAAGGACCUUGAUCUGGAAAAAAAUACACCACCUAUUCAGAGGAGUCUUGGGCUGAGCUGGAAUCUUAAAACAGACACUUUCACCUUCUGCGUUGAUGUAAAAGAGACGCCUUUCACUCGUAAAGGUGUCUUAGCAACUGUCAACAGUGUCUUCAACCCUCUCGGACUGGCAGCACCGCUUACAAUACAAGGAAAGCUCCUCCUUCUGACAGCAGACACAAAAGACUGGGAUGCCACUCUACCAACAAGCAGGGAAUCUGAAUAGGAGGCUUGGAAACAUUCCUUGCAGGAUCUAGCUCAAUUUGAAAUACCCAGGGUGUACUGAAAUAUUUUUCUGUCUUCCACACAAAGGAAAGAAAUUCGCGUUUUCUCAGAUGCUUCCAUAAAGGCAAUUGUAGCAGUAGCCUACUUUAGAGUGAGGGAUGAUAAUGGCUCAUACAAUGUAGGGUUUGUUCUAGGCAAGGCUAAGCUUGCUCCUUUUUCUCCUCACACCAUACAAUGAUUAGAGCUAGGAGAAGCAGUGCUGGCAGUAGAAGUGGCAGAACUUAGUUGGAUAUCACUCCAAAUGCUGUUGAAUUUUAUUCUGACAUGGUGUAUAUUCAUAACCAAACAAGGCGGUAUUAUGUAUAUGAAAGUAAUCAAUAAGACCAUAUAUUUUAUCUAAUAUCAUGUAUCAUGUAUCAAAUAUGAUGUAUCAUGUAUCUAAAAUGAUGUACCUAAUAUGAUGUAUCAUGUAUCCAAUAUGAUGUAUCUAAUAUUGUAUAUCUAAUAUACAAUAUCAUGUAUCUAAUAUCAUUUAUCUACCAUAGUGUAUCAUGCAUCUAAUAUGAUGUAUCUAAUAUCAUGUUUCAUGUAUCUAAUAUCAUUUCUCUAAAAUCAUGUAUCAAAUAUAAUGUAUCACGUAUGUAAUAUCAUGGAUCUAAUAUAAUGUAUCUAAAAGCAUGCGUCUAAUAUCAUGUAUCUAAUGUCAUGUAUCAUGCAUCAAAUAUUAUGUAUCUAAUAUGAUGUAUCUAAUAUCACGUAUCUAAAAGCAUGUGUCUAAUAUCAUGUAUCUAAUGUAAUGUAUCGUGUAUUAAAUAUCAAGUAUCAUCUAUCUAAUGUCAUGUGUCUAAUAUCAUGUUUUCAUGUAUCUAAUAUCAUGUAUCUAAAAUCAUGUGUCUAAUAUCAUGUAUAAUGUUUCUAAUAUCUUCUAUCUAAUAUCAUGCCUCUAAUAUCAUAUAUCAUGUAUCUAACAUCAUGUAUCUAAAAUCAUGUACCUAAUAUCAUGUAUCAUGUAUCAAAUAUCAUGUAUGUAAUAUCAUGCAUAAAAAAGCAUGUGUCUAAU
ensembl:lncRNA